AACACGUGGGUAACCUGCCCAAGAGACUGGGAUAACACCUGGAAACAGAUGCUAAUACCGGAUAACAACACUAGACGCAUGUCUAGAGUUUGAAAGAUGGUUCUGCUAUCACUCUUGGAUGGACCUGCGGUGCAUUAGCUAGUUGGUAAGGUAACGGCUUACCAAGGCAAUGAUGCAUAGCCGAGUUGAGAGACUGAUCGGCCACAUUGGGACUGAGACACGGCCCAAACUCCUACGGGAGGCAGCAGUAGGGAAUCUUCCACAAUGGACGAAAGUCUGAUGGAGCAACGCCGCGUGAGUGAAGAAGGGUUUCGGCUCGUAAAGCUCUGUUGGUAGUGAAGAAAGAUAGAGGUAGUAACUGGCCUUUAUUUGACGGUAAUUACUUAGAAAGUCACGGCUAACUACGUGCCAGCAGCCGCGGUGAUACGUAGGUGGCAAGCGUUGUCCGGAUUUAUUGGGCGUAAAGCGAGUGCAGGCGGUUCAAUAAGUCUGAUGUGAAAGCCUUCGGCUCAACCGGAGAAUUGCAUCAGAAACUGUUGAACUUGAGUGCAGAAGAGGAGAGUGGAACUCCAUGUGUAGCGGUGGAAUGCGUAGAUAUAUGGAAGAACACCAGUGGCGAAGGCGGCUCUCUGGUCUGCAACUGACGCUGAGGCUCGGAAGCAUGGGUAGCGAACAGGGAUUAGAUACCCUGGUAGUUCCAUGCCGUAAAC
rnacentral:rRNA from 1 species